rnacentral:rRNA from 1 species
CCUACGGGUGGCAGCAGUGGGGGAUAUUGGACAAUGGGGGGAACCCUGAUCCAGCGACGCCGCGUGAGUGAAGAAGUAUCUCGGUAUGUAAAGCUCUAUUAGCAGGGAAGAAGAAAUGACGGUACCUGAGUAAGAAGCCCCGGCCAACUACGUGCCAGCAGCCGCGGUCAUCCGUAGGGGGCACGCGUUAUCCGGAAUUACUGGGUGUAAAGGGAGCGUAGGCGGGGAUGUAAGUCUGGAGUGAAAGGCGGGGGCCCAAACCCCGGACAGCUCUGGAAACUAUGUGACUGGAGUGCAGGAGAGGUAAGCGGAAUUCGUGGUGUAGCGGUGAAAUGCGUAGAUAUUAGGAGGAACACCAGUGGCGAAGGCGGCUCACUGGACUGUAACUGACGUUGAGGCACGAAAGCGUGGGGAGCAAACAGGAUUAGAUACCCGAGUAGUC